UAGGGAAUCUUCGGCAAUGGGGGGAACCCUGACCGAGCAACGCCGCGUGAGUGAAGAAGGUUUUCGGAUCGUAAAGCUCUGUUGUUAAGGAAGAACGAGUGUGAGAAUGGAAAGUUCAUGCUGUGACGGUACUUAACCAGAAAGGGACGGCUAACUACGUGCCAGCAGCCGCGGUAAUACGUAGGUCCCGAGCGUUGUCCGGAUUUAUUGGGCGUAAAGCGAGCGCAGGCGGUUAGAAAAGUCUGAAGUGAAAGGCAGUGGCUCAACCAUUGUAGGCUUUGGAAACUGUUUAACUUGAGUGCAGAAGGGGAGAGUGGAAUUCCAUGUGUAGCGGUGAAAUGCGUAGAUAUAUGGAGGAACACCGGUGGCGAAAGCGGCUCUCUGGUCUGUAACUGACGCUGAGGCUCGAAAGCGUGGGGACCGAACAGG
rnacentral:rRNA from 1 species